rnacentral:rRNA from 1 species
UCUUGGUCAUUUAGAGGAAGUAAAAGUCGUAACAAGGUUUCCGUAGGUGAACCUGCGGAAGGAUCAUUACUGUUCGGCAGUUUACUGCUGUUUUUAAAGGGUGUGGAAACUUUUUGGGUUAUCCCAGAGAGGUGUACACGCCCUUUAUACACCCUUGACUUUUUGCGCACCCUUGUUUCCUCGGUAGGCUUGCCUGCCGGUUGGACAACUUAAUAACCUUUGAAAUUUUCAAUCAGCGUCUGUAAAACAUAAUAAUUACAACUUUCAACAACGGAUCUCUUGGUUCUGGCAUCGAUGAAGAACGCAGCGAAAUGCGAUAAGUAGUGUGAAUUGCAGAAUUCAGUGAAUCAUCGAAUCUUUGAACGCACAUUGCGCCCCUUGGUAUUCCAUGGGGCAUGCCUGUUCGAGCGUCAUUUGUACCCUCAAGCUCUGCUUGGUGUUGGGUGGUUGUCUCUGCUCUGCUUAGACUCGCCCUAAAUAUAUUGGCAGCCGGUAUAUUGCUUUGAAGCGCAGCACAAUUGCAAUUUGAGCCUAUAUUACUGGUAUCCAUUAAGCAAAUUAUCACUUUUGACCUCGGAUCAGGUAGGGAUACCCGCUGAACUUAAGCAUAUCAAUAAGCGGAGGAA